GAUGAACGCUGGCGGCGUGCCUAAUACAUGCAAGUCGAGCGAACAGACGAGGAGCUUGCUCCUCUGACGUUAGCGGCGGACGGGUGAGUAACACGUGGAUAACCUACCUAUAAGACUGGGAUAACUUCGGGAAACCGGAGCUAAUACCGGAUAAUAUAUUGAACCGCAUGGUUCAAUAGUGAAAGACGGUUUUGCUGUCACUUAUAGAUGGAUCCGCGCCGCAUUAGCUAGUUGGUAAGGUAACGGCUUACCAAGGCGACGAGGCGCAGCCGACCUGAGGGGGUGAUCGGCCGCACUGGAACGGGGCCGCGGUCCAGGCUCCUACGGGAGGCAGCGGUAGGGAAUCUUGCGCAAUGGGGGAAAGCCUGACGGGGCAGGGCCGCGUGGGGGAUGAGGGUCUUCGGAUCGUAAAACUCUGUUAUUAGGGAAGAACAAAUGUGUAAGUAACUAUGCACGUCUUGACGGUACCUAAUCAGAAAGCCACGGCUAACUACGUG
rnacentral:rRNA from 1 species